GGAGAGAAGCUAGAGAAAUACGAUUUCGGUUAAUAGGGUUAUUUUAUUUAAUUAUUUAUUUUAGUUAUGCCCUAUCUAAUUUAGACUGUUAGAUUUAAUUUGAUCCCAUGGUUAAAAAUUGAUUUACAAAAUAAUGUAAAAAAUGGUGUCCAUGGAACGGGUCCUAUAUUUAUGAUAGCAAGUUUUGAGGUUUCACACUACAAGGAAACAUAUGUAAGGCAUGUAAGAUUGUUGGAUUAAAAUUCUUAAUAUGGGCUUAUAUAUAUUAGCGUGUACUGUUAUCCUAAGAUUGACCUACUUCAAGAGACUAUUUUGGGACAUUGGGUAUUAAAGUGUUAUGCUUAGAUUUGUAGAUACCUUAAGCCGUAUUUCUACUUUAUUGAAAAUUAAUAAACUAUUAAUUUUAUAUAUUGGGGUUCCUAAGAAACAAGAUAUUAUUUUAUUUUCUUCUUCAUCAAGAGAGAAAAUAAGAGAAAGAACACUUGUUUUGUAUUCCUGAAUGAUCAAUACCCCAAAGAGCAAUUUCCAAUAAUACUUCGGGGAUGACGAAGUUAAAGCCAUUCUUUCGAUUCCAUGUUUACUACAUAAUGCACACGAUAGGCUUAUUCGACACUUUGAGGAAACUGGAAAAUUUACGGUGAAGAGCGAUUAUUGGGCCAUAGUGCUCAUGGCUGAGUAUGGACAAGCUUUGUCUAUUUCAGGGUCAUUAGAUUGGUGGUGCUUCUUAUGAAAUCUUAAUAUUCCACCAAAAGUGAGAUUGUUUUGUUGGAAAGCCUAUCUUAGUUGGAUUCCGACUAAGUCUAAUUUGAGAAAUCUUUAUCCAAUUUGAAAUGGAGCAGUUUUGUUUUUUGAUUUGAAGGAUUUAGCAAAGAAGAAAUAAGUUAGUUCAUGAUUAUAUUUUGUGGACUGAGGUUAUGUUUUAAACUGAGCUAUGAAUUAUCUAGAGAUGUUUCAUCAAGUUGCUUCCAAAAUCAAGAUGGAUAUGUUCAUCAGAUGCAAGUCCCACAAGACGUGUGGAAACCUCCUCCAAGUGGCUGCAUUAAGAUCAAUGCGGACACAUGAAUUGCGUGACAGAGGUGUUGUGGAGUUGGGUAUUGUUGCCCGGACUGAAGAUGAUACUGUGCUUAGUUCUUCUGCAGUUCUAUAUGCACUUGCUAUCUGCUCAGUAUUAGAUUAUGACACCCUACAAUCAUCUUUGAAUCAGACUAUGCUCGUGUUGUGCAAAUAGCUUAGCCAAAGAGUGAGCUACUACUCAUUCCUUGGUUCAGCUAGCAUUAUCACUAGAAGGUAUAAGAAUUUGGUGGUCAGGAUACCCCAUGAGUAUCUAUUCCUUUAA